GACGAACGCUGGCGGCGUGCUUAACACAUGCAAGUCGAACGGAAAGGCCUGCUUUCCCUUGUGGAUUGCGGGUACUCGCGUGGCGAACGGGUGAGUAACACGUGAGUGAUCUGCCCCCAACUUGGGUAUAAGCCUGGGAAACUGGGUCUAAUUCCCGAUAGGACUGCAGGGUGGUGCCUGUGGUGGAAAACGAUUUUCUAGUGGUUGGGGAUGAGCUCGCGGCCUAUCAGCUUGUUGGUGGGGUAAUGGCCUACCAAGGCGGCGACGGGAAGCCGGCCUGAGAGGGGGGAGGGCAAAAGUGGGACAGAGAAACGGCCCAGACUCGUACGGGAGGCAGCAGUGGGGAAGAUUGAACAAUGGGCGGAAGCGUGAUGAAGCGACGCCGCGUGGGGGAUGACGGCCUUCGGGUUGUAAACUCCUUUCGACCGCGAGGAAGCCACCUGGUUGGAAGGGUGGUGACGGUAGUGGUAGAAGAAGCACCGGCUAACUACGUG
rnacentral:rRNA from 1 species